CAGUAGCCGCGGUAAUACGUAGGUGGCAAGCGUUGUCCGGAAUUAUUGGGCGUAAAGGGCUCGCAGGCGGUUUCUUAAGUCUGAUGUGAAAGCCCCCGGCUCAACCGGGGAGGGUCAUUGGAAACUGGGAAACUUGAGUGCAGAAGAGGAGAGUGGAAUUCCACGUGUAGCGGUGAAAUGCGUAGAGAUGUGGAGGAACACCAGUGGCGAAGGCGACUCUCUGGUCUGUAACUGACGCUGAGGAGCGAAAGCGUGGGGAGCGAACAGGAUUAGAUACCCCUGUAGUCCCUGUCUCUUAUAC
rnacentral:rRNA from 1 species